GGGGUGUGCUCAGAGCAGGGGGUCUGGAGAAAUGGCUCGUCUGUUUACAACACACCCGGCAGGAGUCAGGGUUCAUUGUGACAAGGGGCACAAAACUGUGGCCUUCCUAUGAACAUAUACCCAACACGU
rnacentral:snoRNA from 1 species